rnacentral:lncRNA from 1 species
UUAAAACUAUAUUUAGGUUUUUCAAUUACUCUUCAUCUUUAUAUUCGAACUUGUAUUUUGGGAUCCCAAUGACGUCAUCUGUUAUGCUGGUAAAUUUUCACUGAGAAUUGAAAAACGUUACUGACUAACCUCGUUAUAACUUAUAAGUUACCUGAAAUAGCAUUUGUAUGGCGUAUGCAACUUUUUCUUCUCAUUACAGAAUUUACCUUCUUAGUUCAGUUAAAUAAAAGUUUUAAUUUACAGUUUGAGGCUGGAUGACCGAUACCGUGCGAGACGUCCUGUUAUAAUCAGCUUGUCCUCCAAGAUAAACAUUGAACUCUGUUUAUAAUUAAUUAUUAAUUAAUAAAGGGUACUAUUUUUUUUGGAUUGAAGGGAGCUCUGGAGGGUAUUUUAGUUUGGAGUAGCUUAUGGAAUGGCAGAAGAGAGAGGAGUGGAGAGUAAAACAAAAUUAAAGGUGAGGAUUCGAGGUUGGAAUGGAGU